GGAGAGGUACCCGAGUGGCCAAAGGGGACGGGCUGUAAACCCGUUGGCGUAGCCUACGGAGGUUCAAAUCCUCCCCUCUCCACCA
rnacentral:tRNA from 4 species